UUUUUUUUUUUUUUUUUUUUUUUGGUCCGCUUUUUAGGGCCACACCUGCAGCAUACGGAGGUUCCAAGGCUGGGGUCGAAUUGGAGCUGUAGCCACCAGCCUAUAUCACAGCCACAAGAAUGCUAGAUCUGAGCCACAUCUGUGACCUACACCACAGCUCAUGACAACAUCGGAUCCUUAACCCACUGAGCGAGGCCAGGGAUCGAACCCGCAACCUCAUGGUUCCUUGUCGGGUUUGUUUCUGCUGAGCCACAACAGGAAUCCAGAACAGCACAUGAUUUUGUCAAGACAAAACUGCAAUUGUAUUGCACCCUCUGGAGAAGGUCUAGGUGCUGAGGAAGGGUGGUGGGUGUGGGGAAUAGCAGGAGGGGAGGUAGAAGGGGGACCUGGCGGGCGCCUCUCCACAGCCAACGUGAUAUCUGCGGUCUGGACACUCCCCAGAACUGCUGGAUGGGCCUGGACACUCAGCGACCCCAGCUGGUGAGAGGGCCCCCCCCCCCGCCCCAGUCCUCCUUCUCUCACUCCCCACUCACUGAUCGGGGGUGGGGGGGGGUUCCUCCUGAGCAGGGCCUGGCUUCCCGUAUGUAGAUUCUCCCUCAGCUCAGACUGGCAGGUGCAGCAGCAGGCUCUCCCCUGGUUCCAUUCCUCAAUGGUAAUAAAGGUAAAGGAGGUGCCUUAGCCACUCUGAACCUCAGUCUCUUCAUCUGUAAAGUGGGAUAUGAAGAGUAUGUACCUGACAGUGCGGUUUGGAGGAUAAAGUAGGGAGCUAACUGGCACUGGUGGGUGGGCAGACCUGCAGGUGCCCGGCACUCACCGCUUCCCUGGCUUCCAGGCACCGGGGCUGCUUUUGGCAAUUACUGCCCGCCCCGCCUGAGGCUUUUUAUCUGGCUUUGGGGGCAGGCUUGGCCAGUGCCCAGAGCAAGCAGGAGGCCAAACCAGCCGUCAGCAUCUGUGCCCCUUUGCUUGAGGGUCCCUUUGUCCAUUCAGGCAGCCCUUUGGAGGAUCCCUUUGUGACUGAGGGAGUUGGGAGGGACAACCCCGGUCCCCCUACUCCUCAACCGGGAAAGCUCUGAGGCAGGUGUCCUCUCCCGUUUCCAGAACUCUCCAGCAGGGCUGCACUCCAGGUGCCCUCGUUGGCAACUUGCUUGACUACGUGUCCUUCCCAGCUUCCCUUCCCCCCGGCUCACUCCCCUGUUCCCCGACUGGGGUUUCAUGGGCGUCCCCUCCCAGUCCUGUGCUUUGUUCUUGUCUCAGUGUCUGCUUCUGACAACACCUAAGUGACGCAGGUCACUUCCAGCGCGAGCUUGGUUAGGGUGUCGCCCAGGGCACCUGCUGUGGGAACAGCACUGACCCGGGCUCUGGCUGCCACCCUCUGCAGCUGCUCCUGUGUCGUCACCAGGGCUGAGGUGCUCCUGAAUUGUUCUCAUGAUGCCUGAACACGACAGGGGCCCUGGUGCAGCCCAUCCCCGUGGGACAUAGGACUUGGUUCCUGGGCGGCCCCGGCUGAGACUUCUCAGAGCUGUGCGGGGUCUGAGGCUCUUCCAGCCCAACCCUCCUCCUAUUAAGGGCUCUGGGUGGUUAGGAUACAUCGGUCAAUGAAAGAGGCAAACGUCUCUGCCCUCGUGGAGCUCACUUUCUAUCUGGGAGGGGGCAGAUAACAAAGCAUGAUAUGAUUAAUAGAGUGAGUGUGUGUGUGUGUGUGUGUGUGAAUGUGUGUGUAUAUGUGUGGUUUGUAAUUUUCAAUAGGAUGGUCGGGGGAAGGGGGUGUUGCUGAGAAGACGCUGACCCAAGACUGAAGGAGGACGGAUUUAGCCGCAGGGCAUCUGGAGGAAGGAUGCUCCAGGCCAGGCAAAGGCCCAGGGCCUCAGACACGCUGCCCCAGUCCUGUGGUUUCCUCCCCGCUGCAGGUCUAUCCGAGGAGGUCCACCUGCCCACAGUCCAUGGAAACCAUCACUGGGUCCUUCCUUAGACAGAGUUCACCGCAGCAUGGUAAAUGAGUACUUUAAUUUUAUUCUAAUUACUUAAUUAGCGUAAAUCCAUAGCCCAUGGAAGUUUCUUGGCCAGGGAUCAAACUCGUGUCACAGUAGUAGUUAAGGUUAAAGCCUUAACCAUUAGGCUACCAGGGAACUCCCAAGUGCCUUCAUUUUAAACAAGUACCAAUAUCCACACCCCACUUUAGGUACAGAGUCAUAGUCAGGGCUAAUAAACCACAUUCUAUCAGCUCGCACUGUUUCAAAGGAACGGGCCAGUUAUUCCUUUACACCCAUGCAUUUGGCAGAUUCUUGCCCUGAGUAAUUACAGACAGUUACAGCACCGCCCCAGAGCGCACUACAACUGAAAUCAGGUCCCAGAAGAUCAACACCGUUGAUCUAACUCCACGGGGUUGUGGGAGCUAGGGCUCAACACCCGAUGCUGCUCCCAGACGGUCUGACAAAGGGCAAAUGCCGGCCAGGGACUAGCUUCAUCUGGGGGCCUGGCCAGUCAAGAAUGCGGGUGAGGGGGAUCCCAUGGGACGCUUGGACCAAUCAGCCAAAGUGUGAUGCCUGCCACCCGAAGCAGAAACAAAACCGAAGAGGUGCUGCUUACUAGGUGCUGCUCACUGGCUCAGAACAUGCCUCAGGUGGAAACGGCUUCAUAACCAAGAUGCCAUAAGGCAUGUGUGCAUCAUUUCUUUUAUUUUCUCUCUCUCUCUCUUUUUUUUUUUUUUUUGUCUUUUUGCCUUUUCUAGGGCUGCUCCCGCAGCAUAUGGAGGUUCCCAGGCUAGGGGGUCUAAUCGGAGCUGUAGCCACUGGCUUACGCCAGAGCCACAGCAACGCCAGAUCCAAGCUGCGUCUGCCACCUACGCCACAGCUCACAGCAACCCACUGACCAAGGCCAGAGAUUGAACCUGCAUCCUCAUGGAUACUGGUCGGCUUGGUAACCUGCUGAGCCAUGACGGGAACUCCCUGUUUGGGUCAUUUACAGGAGCACUGCCUCUGGUACCGAGAAUACCCCUGCCCCCUCUCUGAUGGCCCUUCUCACACGCUGUGGACGUCCUGGCCUGUCUGCAGUGGCAGCAGCAGUCUGUCACUUUCAUUAGCAGAGCCGCCAAGAGGCUUCUAUGAUUGAGACUCAGUGUCACGUGAGGACAGGGAGAAAGUCCAUGGAAAAUUCACACCCUGCUAUGUUCUGAAUGGCUCUGCCUAAGUUGGCAUCACAGAAAUGGCACCUGCUGCAUUCACAAAAGACUUCUUACCAAUGUGGUAAAUGAAGGCCCUUAAUACCUUCAUCUUCUCAAUAAUCCAAAGAGGUAGGUAUCAUUGCC
ensembl:lncRNA